GUUUAUUGUUGACUUGAGGGUGGGUAAUGCAAUACGUGCAGGCGCAUGAGUUGUGGUUUGCUUGUGUUGGUUGGUUGGAUCCUUGCUCUGGCAACGACGUCCAUCCUCACAUGCAUCUUCAGUUGUGUCUCGUGAUANAUAUUAUCUCGAGCGUUGCCUUGGUUUCUUGUGUUGCGUACCUUAUACGAUGGCAAUCGGUAGUCUUAANGUCCCAUUUCGCCUUUCGUUGUCCCUUUUUGGGGCGACGUGGGGUGAACCAUGAAGUAAUCCCUGUGUCCCGCUCCACUCACAUUCAAUUGUGCCUGUGGAUUGGUCCAUAGGGUAUUCGCUCGGGCUCUUGGAUGCGGUGCAUUACAUAUGGGCAUGAGGUCUCACGUCCUCUUUUGUGCCCGAACAAAAGCUUUCAUCGCUUAGUUGCGAACGAUUGCGUUCCCCGUCUCGAGCCUUUCGGCAAGUGCGGUGCUCGCUUCGUUGAGGAAUGCUACCUGGUUGAUCCUG
rnacentral:misc_RNA from 1 species